GAGUUUGAUCCUGGCUCAGGAUAAACGCUGGCGGCGUGCCUAACACAUGCAAGUCGAACGUCUCUUCCGCAAGGGAGAGGAGUGGCGGACGGGUGAGCAACACGUGGGAACCUGCCCUCAAGUGAGGAAUACCGGCGAGAAAUCCCCGACAAAACCGCAUAGCCUCUCUUGCGAGAGAGAAGAAAGUCGUAAGACGCCUGGGGAGGAACCCGCGGCCGAUUAGCUGGUUGGUGAGGUAAUGGCUCACCAAGGCUCUGAUCGGUAGCUGGUCUGAGAGGAUGGACAGCCACACUGGGAUUGAGAACGGCCCAGACUCCUACGGGGGGCAGCAGUGAGGAAUUUUCGGCAAUGGGGGCAACCCUGACCGAGCAACGCCGCGUGCAGGAAGACGCUUCUCGGAGUGUAAACUGCUUUUCUUGGGGACGAGAUGGGACGGUACCCAAGGAAUCAGCCCCGGCUAACUACGUGCCAGCAGCCGCGGUAAUACGUAGGGGGCGAGCGUUGUCCGGAGUUACUGGGCGUAAAGGGCCUGUAGGCGGUCCUGAACGUUCGUGCUGACAGCGUGCAGCUUCACUGCACGAGGCGUACGAACACGGCAGGACUUGAGGAGCCGAGAGGGAGCGGGAAUUCCGGGUGGAGCGGUGAAAUGCGUAGAGAUCCGGAGGAACACCAAAGGCGAAGGCACGCUCCUGGAGGCCUCCUGACGCUGAGGGGCGAAAGCCAGGGGAGCGAACGGGAUUAGAUACCCCGGUAGUCCUGGCAGUAAACGAUGACCACUAGGUGUGGGAGGUAUCGACCCCUUCCGUGCCGUCGUUAACACAAUAAGUGGUCCGCCUGGGGAGUACGGUCGCAAGAUUAAAACUCAAAGGAAUUGACGGGGACCCGCACAAGCAGCGGAGCGUGUGGUUUAAUUCGAUGCAACGCGAAGCACCUUACCAGGGCUUGACAUGCUUCUUGAGCCUCUGGAGACAGAGGGGUCCGCAAGGAAGAGGAGCACAGGUGCUGCAUGGCUGUCGUCAGCUCGUGUCGUGAGAUGUUGGGUUCAGUCCCGCAACGAGCGCAACCCCUAUCGCUAGUUAUACGUGUCUAGCGAGACUGCCUCGGUCAACGGGGAGGAAGGCGGGGAUGACGUCAAGUCAGCACGGCCCUUACGUCCUGGGCGACACACACGCUACAAUGGUCGGGACAAUGGGGCGCCAACCCGCGAGGGGCAGCCAAUCCCAGCAAACCCGAUCUCAGUUCAGAUUGCAGGCUGCAACCCGCCUGCAUGAAGUCGGAGUUGCUAGUAACCGUGGGUCAGCACACCACGGUGAAUGCGUUCCCGGGUCUUGUACACACCGCCCGUCACACCACGAAAGUCGGCAACCCCUGAAGCCGCUGAGCUAACCCAAUUGGGAGGCAGGCGUCGAGGGUGGGGUCGGUGAUUGGGGUGAAGUCGUAACAAGGUAGC
rnacentral:rRNA from 1 species